AGAGUUUGAUCCUGGCUCAGAUUGAACGCUGAUGCCUUACACAUGCAAGUCGAACGGCAGCGCGGACUUCGGUCUGGCGGCGAGUGGCGAACGGGUGAGUAAUGUAUCGGAACGUACCUUUCAGUGGGGGAUAACGUAGCGAAAGUUACGCUAAUACCGCAUAUUCUGUGAGCAGGAAAGCAGGGGAUCGCAAGACCUUGCGCUGAUUGAGCGGCCGAUAUCAGAUUAGCUAGUUGGUGAGGUAAAGGCUCACCAAGGCGACGAUCUGUAGCGGGUCUGAGAGGAUGAUCCGCCACACUGGAACUGAGACACGGUCCAGACUCCUACGGGAGGCAGCAGUGGGGAAUUUUGGACAAUGGGGGCAACCCUGAUCCAGCCAUGCCGCGUGAGUGAAGAAGGCCUUCGGGUUGUAAAGCUCUUUCGGCCGGGAAGAAAUCGUACGGGUUAAUACCCUGUGCGGAUGACGGUACCGGCAUAAGAAGCACCGGCUAACUACGUGCCAGCAGCCGCGGUAAUACGUAGGGUGCGAGCGUUAAUCGGAAUUACUGGGCGUAAAGCGUGCGCAGGCGGUUUUGUAAGACAGGCGUGAAAUCCCCGGGCUCAACCUGGGAACUGCGCUUGUGACUGCAAGGCUAGAGUAUGGCAGAGGGGGGUGGAAUUCCACGUGUAGCAGUGAAAUGCGUAGAGAUGUGGAGGAACACCAAUGGCGAAGGCAACCCCCUGGGCCAAUACUGACGCUCAUGCACGAAAGCGUGGGUAGCAAACAGGAUUAGAUACCCUGGUAGUCCACGCCCUAAACGAUGUCAACUAGGUGUUGGGUGGGUAAAACCAUUUAGUACCGUAGCUAACGCGUGAAGUUGACCGCCUGGGGAGUACGGCCGCAAGGUUAAAACUCAAAGGAAUUGACGGGGACCCGCACAAGCGGUGGAUGAUGUGAUUAAUUCGAUGCACGCGAAAA
rnacentral:rRNA from 1 species